CACGUAGGGCGCGAGCGUUGUCCGGAAUUAUUGGGCGUAAAGAGCUCGUAGGCGGCCUGUUGCGUCCGCUGUGAAAGCCCGGGGCUUAACCCCGGGUCUGCAGUGGAUACGGGCAGGCUAGAGGUAGGUAGGGGAGAAUGGAAUUCCCGGUGUAGCGGUGAAAUGCGCAGAUAUCGGGAGGAACACCGGUGGCGAAGGCGGUUCUCUGGGCCUUACCUGACGCUGAGGAGCGAAACGUGGGGAGCGAACAGG
rnacentral:rRNA from 1 species